rnacentral:lncRNA from 1 species
GUUUAUCAUCUCUUUUCUACUUCCAUUAAGCUUUUAGCUUUAGCAGGCCUCAUGGUGAGGACGCGGGGCUGGAAAUCCAUCCACACAAACAUGCAAGUGAAACGUUCUGCUGCAGAUCACUGGCGUGUGGCCACGCACGCUGGGACCUGCCUGUGCAACUCUUGUUCUGGCUUGGUGUGGUUCACAGAGGACACUUCAUGGAACACAGAACAUGGGAGAAGGUACUGAUUUACAGGUCUUAGCCCUCCAGUGGGGUACAGCUGCAGUCUGCUCUGGGUUACCAAAACUGGAGAAAAGAGCAGGAAGAUCUACAUGGCCUUACAGAGCUCCAGGUCUUGGCUGUAGGUUUAUAGAUGAGCAGCACCGGAUUCCCCCCUCCCUCCCCACCUCCUUUCCACCCAUGUGACUGAAC